rnacentral:rRNA from 1 species
AGGCGCGCGAUACAGGGUGACAGCCCCGUACACAAAAAUGCACAUAUUGUGAGCUCGAUGAGUAGGGCGGGACACGUGGUAUCCUGUCUGAAUAUGGGGGGACCAUCCUCCAAGGCUAAAUACUCCUGACUGACCGAUAGUGAACCAGUACCGUGAGGGAAAGGCGAAAAGAACCCCGGCGAGGGGAGUGAAAAAGAACCUGAAACCGUGUACGUACAAGCAGUGGGAGCACGCUUAGGCGUGUGACUGCGUACCUUUUGUAUAAUGGGUCAGCGACUUAUAUUCUGUAGCAAGGUUAACCGAAUAGGGGAGCCGAAGGGAAACCGAGUCUUAACUGGGCGUUAAGUUGCAGGGUAUAGACCCGAAACCCGGUGAUCUAGCCAUGGGCAGGUUGAAGGUUGGGUAACACUAACUGGAGGACCGAACCGACUAAUGUUGAAAAAUUAGCGGAUGACUUGUGGCUGGGGGUGAAAGGCCAAUCAAACCGGGAGAUAGCUGGUUCUCCCCGAAAGCUAUUUAGGUAGCGCCUCGUGAAUUCAUCUCCGGGGGUAGAGCACUGUUUCGGCAAGGGGGUCAUCCCGACUUACCAACCCGAUGCAAACUGCGAAUACCGGAGAAUGUUAUCACGGGAGACACACGGCGGGUGCUAACGUCCGUCGUGAAGAGGGAAACAACCCAGACCGCCAGCUAAGGUCCCAAAGUCAUGGUUAAGUGGGAAACGAUGUGGGAAGGCCCAGACAGCCAGGAUGUUGGCUUAGAAGCAGCCAUCAUUUAAAGAAAGCGUAAUAGCUCACUGGUCGAGUCGGCCUGCGCGGAAGAUGUAACGGGGCUAAACCAUGCACCGAAGCUGCGGCAGCGACACUAUGUGUUGUUGGGUAGGGGAGCGUUCUGUAAGCCUGUGAAGGUGUGCUGUGAGGCAUGCUGGAGGUAUCAGAAGUGCGAAUGCUGACAUAAGUAACGAUAAAGCGGGUGAAAAGCCCGCUCGCCGGAAGACCAAGGGUUCCUGUCCAACGUUAAUCGGGGCAGGGUGAGUCGACCCCUAAGGCGAGGCCGAAAGGCGUAGUCGAUGGGAAACAGGUUAAUAUUCCUGUACUUGGUGUUACUGCGAAGGGGGGACGGAGAAGGCUAUGUUGGCCGGGCGACGGUUGUCCCGGUUUAAGCGUGUAGGCUGGUUUUCCAGGCAAAUCCGGAAAAUCAAGGCUGAGGCGUGAUGACGAGGCACUACGGUGCUGAAGCAACAAAUGCCCUGCUUCCAGGAAAAGCCUCUAAGCAUCAGGUAACAUCAAAUCGUACCCCAAACCGACACAGGUGGUCAGGUAGAGAAUACCAAGGCGCUUGAGAGAACUCGGGUGAAGGAACUAGGCAAAAUGGUGCCGUAACUUCGGGAGAA